AUUAAAGCUGAAAUGUAACAUCUUCUAUGUAUUCAUGCCCCUGGUUUAAAAUACAUCCUUUGCCUACUGACCAGAAAGUGAAUUAGUCUUGGUAUAUACUUUGCAAGACAUCUCAGGCUCCCACCUGGCGACGUCCCAUCUACAGACGGAGCUGAAAGGCUGCACUGGCAGGGGAGAGGGAAUCAUUGCCUACAACACCAACAGCGUGCCAGGGAGUGGCUUCCCACACCAGCUACUUCUAAAGCCCCUGGGCGGUCUUAGCAGAAUGGUUUUACAAUGGACCCCUACCCAAGGGGUAUAGGUUCUUCUGAAUCUAUCAGGCAGUUUUGCCCAGUCUCCUUCCUUCCAAGCUGCUCCUUGGAAGACGCUGUGCUACAACCUUAUAUACCUACAAGGCCCACACUUAACCUACAAAGGCCAGUAAAUACAGCUAAAGCCACUAAAUGUACCAUUACCGUAGCCAGUUAUGUCCAACACUGCCUAUUCUAAAUGCAGGGGAAAUGCCAGUAUCCCAGUCCUUUGCUGGAACAGUGACCAUAGGGAAUAAAAGCAAUAUGCACUACACUGCUCUACAUGUUAUUUAGAGGAAGGGCAGUGAAGAAAUGAACACCUUCUCUCUUCAGCUUCCUGCACAGUCGCGAGCAAAGCUGAGAGGGGAACUGGAAACCUCUGAAACAUGGAGCAGUUCAAACUGCCAAAAUCCAGGCUGUUUACAGUCUACAAGCAGCACUGCCAGAGGGAAACCCAGCCAUCAGACCAAUAGCAACUGAUGGAAGCAUGCCUCAACCCGCCGAAGGACAAGGUUUCCAGGAAGGACGUGUUCUCCAGCACUUAGGAUGUGAUA